AUUUUUAUGUGUUCUAUAUAUAUAUGCUAACUGGUUUGGGUUAAAACUUAAUUUGUAAGAGUAAAGGUAUCAGAAGGAAUCCAUAAUUUAAAAAGUUGGCAGCAUUUUACUUGAAUCUUCAGAUUCACUUAAAUUAUUGCUGAUGACAUUUUCUGGCAGUUCAUGUGUUAGUUAUACCCCAUUCACUUUGAAAACAGUUCUGUGUAUUUCAUUAAAUAGUUGAGUCAGGAAAGGAGAGAAGCCUGAGAUUUGUCCAAGAUGCUAUGCAUUUAAGUAAAUAAAUAAUUUUAAGUAAAAUUAAAAAAAAUGUGCCUUCAUCUUGAGGACCUGGUGUUGUUGGGAUCUUUGCUAUAAAGGUCUCCACCCUGAACUCUCACACCAUGCUCCACAGUUGUGCGCCAAUACACUUGGUAUAUUGCACACCAGAAGCCUAAUUACAUGGUAGUUUCUAGGUGCCAUGUCAGAGUGCUUCCCCGCCCCCCCCCCCCCCCCCCCCCCCCCCACCCCCCUUGGGCUUGUCAAUUGGUGGGCAAAAUCACUAUUUAGACCAUAGUGUCCUCAGACUUGUGGCAGUCCUCCAGCUUCUGCUUCCUAAUUCUUGGAUUUUAUAGGCUACCAUCCCACCUGACUCAAGUGCUUAAGUUGUGGGAAAUACUGAGAGGGUUAGAACUGUAAAAACCUUCAAAGUAUUUUUGUGUUAAAUAUUUUAACUGCAAAGUUAAAGUAGUUAUUUAAGCACCUGAAAUAAUACAAUAAACACUAGGGAAAUUAGCUGUUUAGUACUUUACUUGUUUAAGAAAUAACUAAAAAGACAAUUGUUAAAAACUGUUAAAAGCAAAUAUUAGAUUAUAAGUGCCUUUUCCAGUUUAGUACCAUAAGCAGGUGAGUUGUCCCAUUAUCUAUUGCCAGGCAAUUUUUAUUAAUCACACCUAAUAUGACAGAUUUUAGAACCUAGUUUGUCAACAAAUGUGAAAUACUUAACCUUUCUGGUGCUAACAUGAGAUGAGAAAGACUUGAUGGUGGUAGUUUAUUUUACCCAGGGAGUUGUCUAUACUUGAGCCUCUGAUUAUCUAAGGUUAUAUGUAGUUCUUGGGUUUUUUUCCCUAAUGGAGGUUUCUUCCAAAUCGAGGUUUUACCUCAAAACACAAAAAAGGUUUAAUAGGAAAGUAACUUUUGUUUGUAUUGGGAGUAGGAGUCGUUUUCUCUGUGUAGCCCUCUGUAGAGGAGGUUGGCAUCCCUUGUGCUGGAACGAAGGUGUGCACCACUACCAAUAGGCUGAAAGUAACUUUUAAACAUCUCAGUCCUCUAAAAAAUUUACUUUCUCAUGAGUGAAUUAAUCUACAUCUCUUUAAAACUUGAAAGAUAGCAUUACCUUUUUGUAUAGAUUUUAUAUUAAGAUGUUAUAUAGUGAUAGGUUGUAGGGAGAAAAAUGUUAUUAAGAGUAAAAGUGUAAAACAUGAUUAUCUUAAAUACUUCAAUGAUAGGCUGAGGGGGGCAUCUUUUUUUUUUUUUUAAAUGUAUCUCCGGUGAUGAGUCUGAAUAGUGGGGCCUGGCUUCUAGGGGUAGAGUUUGCUAUUAUUAGCCUUCUCUUCCUCAUCUGUUCCACCUGUGUAAGUGGUGGAACUAAGCUUGUUUAAAAUGUGCUUUAUAUUUAGCACCAGGAUUCUAGAUGAGCUGGGCAUUUUGUCUCUUGGCUGCAAUCCCAGUCCCAGGAAGCUGAGGCAGGAGGAUUGCUAAGUGUUCUAGGGGAGACAUUUGCCUUUUAAAAGUAUGUGCAAACUGGGACUUACUACCUCAGAUUCCUGAAUAAAAUAGGGUAUGCUAGGAGAUGAGGGAAAUUGGGGUAAAUUAAGGGGAAACAUAAUGAUAAGGGGAAACUCAUUCUGAAACUAGAGAUAACUGCUGUUUGUACAAGUCUUCCCAGGGGCCUUUCCAGAUCUUCACACCUUAAAAGUUGCCCCCUUACCAAUUGUUGUUUAGGGAAAAAUAAUUAAAAAUAAGACUACUCAUGCCCUGUAUUAUACAUUACAUCUAUGUGUAACUUGUCUCCUUCACUAGAUUGUAAGCCUUUGGAGGUCAGAAACUCAACAAAAAUUGUAUCUUCCACCACAUCUAGCACAGUGCCUUACACUUAUUUGCUAUUCAAUAAAUAUUCAUUAAAAU
ensembl:sense_intronic Gm28229 predicted gene 28229